GAUGAACGCUGGCGGCGUGCCUAAUACAUGCAAGUCGAGCGAACGGACGAGAAGCUUGCUUCUCUGAUGUUAGCGGCGGACGGGUGAGUAACACGUGGAUAACCUACCUAUAAGACCGGGAUAACUUCGGGAAACCGUAGCUAAUACCGGAUAAUAUUUUGAACCGCAUGGUUCAAAAGUGAAAGACGGUCUUGCUGUCACUUAUAGAUGGAUCCGCGCUGCAUUAGCUAGUUGGUAAGGUAACGGCUUGCCAAGGCAACGAUGCAUAGCCGACCUGAGAGGGUGAUCGGCCACACUGGAACUGAGACACGGUCCAGACUCCUACGGGAGGCAGCAGUAGGGAAUCUUCCGCAAUGGGCGAAAGCCUGACGGAGCAACGCCGCGUGAGUGAUGAAGGUCCUCGGAUCGUAAAACUCUGUUAUUAGGGAAGAACAUAUGUGUAAGUAACUGUGCACAUCUUGACGGUACCUAAUCAGAAAGCCACGGCUAACUACGUG
rnacentral:rRNA from 1 species